GACGAACGCUGGCGGCGUGCUUAACACAUGCAAGUCGAACGGAAAGGCCCCCUUGUGGGGUACUCGAGUGGCGAACGGGUGAGUAACACGUGAGUAACCUACCCUUUACUUUGGGAUAACUUCAGGAAACUGGGGCUAAUACCGGAUAGGAGCUCCUGCUGCAUGGUGGGGGUUGGAAAGUUUCGGCGGUUGGGGAUGGACUCGCGGCUUAUCAGCUUGUUGGUGGGGUAGUGGCUCACCAAGGCUUUGACGGGUAGCCGGCCUGAGAGGGUGACCGGCCACAUUGGGACUGAGAUACGGCCCAGACUCCUACGGGAGGCAGCAGUGGGGAAUAUUGCACAAUGGGCGGAAGCCUGAUGCAGAAACGCCGCGUGCGGGAUGACGGCCUUCGGGUUGUAAACCGCUUUCGCCUGUGACGAAGCGUGAGUGACGGUAAUGGGUAAAGAAGCACCGGCUAACUACGUG
rnacentral:rRNA from 1 species